rnacentral:rRNA from 1 species
UACGUAGGGUCCGAGCGUUGUCCGGAAUUAUUGGGCGUAAAGAGCUCGUAGGCGGUUUGUCGCGUCUGCUGUGAAAUCCCGAGGCUCAACCUCGGGCCUGCAGUGGGUACGGGCGGACUGGAGUACUGCAGGGGAGACUGGAAUUCCUGGUGUAGCGGUGAAAUGCGCAGAUAUCAGGAGGAACACCGGUGGCGAAGGCGGGUCUCUGGGCAGUUACUGACGCUGAGGAGCGAAAGCGUGGGGAGCGAACAGG